rnacentral:rRNA from 1 species
GCAGUAAGGAAUAUUGGUCAAUGGGGGCAACCCUGAACCAGCCAUGCCGCGUGCAGGAAGACGGCCCUCCGGGUUGUAAACUGCUUUUAUUCGGGAAUAAACCUUUCUACGUGUAGGAAGCUGAAUGUACCGAAGGAAUAAGGAUCGGCUAACUCCGUGCCAGCAGCCGCGGUAAUACGGAGGAUCCAAGCGUUAUCCGGAUUUAUUGGGUUUAAAGGGUGCGUAGGCGGCCUGUUAAGUCAGGGGUGAAAGACGGUAGCUCAACUAUCGCAGUGCCCUUGAUACUGAUGGGCUUGAAUGGACUAGAGGUAGGCGGAAUGAGACAAGUAGCGGUGAAAUGCAUAGAUAUGUCUCAGAACACCGAUUGCGAAGGCAGCUUACUAUGGUCUUAUUGACGCUGAGGCACGAAAGCGUGGGGAUCAAACAGGAUUAGA